CCCUGACUUGUCAUGAGUUGCACGCUGCAUUGCAAAAGUAAUCUCAUUAUGUUCUGGUGAUACCUUUUCCAUGGGGUGGGGCCCAUCCAGUAACACAUCCAACUCAUCUCAUGAAAGUCCAGUUUUGCUCACUCUUGCCCAAGAGAGGAAUUUCAUUUCCGGAAGGCAGGUGAUGCAUAAAAAGUAUCUCACCUCAAGGAUCCAGACAAGACUCCAGUGACCAUUCCUAUCAUAAGGAUUCCAGUUUACAUUUUCAGACUCCAGAUUUGACUGAUAUCAAGAUGUGCUCCCGCAACGAUAGAGGAUGCCACAACAAACCACAGGACUCCUGCCACAACAAACCACAGGACUCCUGCCACAACAAACCACAGGACUCCUGCCACAGAGGUGGAAGUUCCUGCCAUGAGGACA